GGGGCCGUCGUUCAACGGAUAGGACAUAUCCCCUCUAAGGAUACAAUGAUGGUUCGAUUCCAUCCGGCCCUACCA
rnacentral:tRNA from 1 species